rnacentral:rRNA from 1 species
UACGUAGGGUGCAAGCGUUAAUCGGAAUUACUGGGCGUAAAGCGUGCGCAGGCGGUUUUGUAAGUCUGUCGUGAAAUCCCCGGGCUCAACCUGGGAAUUGCGAUGGAGACUGCAAGGCUAGAAUCUGGCAGAGGGGGGUAGAAUUCCACGUGUAGCAGUGAAAUGCGUAGAGAUGUGGAGGAAUACCGAUGGCGAAGGCAGCCCCCUGGGAUAACACUGACGCUCAUGCACGAAAGGCGUGGGGAGC